CGGGAAAAGGCAUCUUCUUGUUUUUAAAGACCUAGCAAUAGGUAUGCUUAGGGAGGAGCUUGCGUCACAUUAGUUAGUUGGUGGGGUAAAGGCCUACCAAGACUAUGAUGUGUAGCCGGGCUGAGAGGUUGAACGGCCACAUUGGGACUGAGACACGGCCCAAACUCCUACGGGAGGCAGCAGUAGGGAAUUUUCGGCAAUGGAGGAAACUCUGACCGAGCAACGCCGCGUGAACGAUGAAGUAUUUCGGUACGUAAAGUUCUUUUAUUAGGGAAGAAUAAAUGAUGGAAAAAUCAUUCUGACGGUACCUAAUGAAUAAGCCCCGGCUAACUAUGUGCCAGCAGCCGCGGUAAUACAUAGGGGGCAAGCGUUAUCCGGAAUUAUUGGGCGUAAAGGGUGCGUAGGCGGUUAAAUAAGUUUAUGGUCUAAGUGCAAUGCUCAACAUUGUGAUGCUAUAAAAACUGUUUAGCUAGAGUAAGAUAGAGGCAAGUGGAAUUCCAUGUGUAGUGGUAAAAUGCGUAAAUAUAUGGAGGAACACCAGUAGCGAAGGCGGCUUGCUGGGUCUUUACUGACGCUGAGGCACGAAAGCGUGGGGAGCAAACAGGAUUAGAUACCCUGGUAGUCCACGCCGUAAACGAUGAGUACUAAACGUUGGGUAAAACCAGUGUUGAAGUUAACACAUUAAGUACUCCGCCUGAGUAGUACGUACGCAAGUAUGAAACUUAAAGGAAUUGACGGGACUCCGCACAAGCGGUGGAUCAUGUUGUUUAAUUCGAAGGUACCCGAAAAACCUCACCAGGUCUUGACAUGCUUCUGCAAAGCUGUAGAAACACAGUGGAGGUUAUCAGUUGCACAGGUGGUGCAUGGUUGUCGUCAGCUCGUGUCGUGAGAUGUUGGGUUAAGUCCCGCAACGAGCGCAACCCUUAUUGUUAGUUACCAGCACGUAAUGGUGGGGACUUUAGCAAGACUGCCAGUGAUAAAUUGGAGGAAGGUGGGGACGACGUCAAAUCAUCAUGCCCCUUAUGACCUGGGCUACAAACGUGAUACAAUGGCUGUUACAAAGGGUAGCUGAAGCGCAAGUUUUUGGCGAAUCUCAAAAAAACAGUCUCAGUUCGGAUUGAAGUCUGCAACUCGACUUCAUGAAGUUGGAAUCGCUAGUAAUCGCGAAUCAGCAAAGUCCGGGA
rnacentral:rRNA from 1 species